GAUGAACGCUGGCGGCGUGCCUAAUACAUGCAAGUCGAGCGAAGCGGGGCCGGGUGCGUAACACGUGGAUAACCUCCUAUAAGACUGGGAUAAAUUCGGGCAACCGGAGCUAAACCGGAUGCUUAUAGAUGGAUCCGCGCUGCAUGAGCUAGUUGGUAAGGUAACGGCUUACCAAGGCAACGAUGCAUAGCCGACCUGAGAUGGUGAGCUGCCACAUAGGAACUAAGACACGGUCCAGACGCGUACCGGUGGGAGCAGUAGGGAAGCUUCCGCAAUGGGCGAAAGCCUGACGGGGCAACGCCGCGGGAAUGAUGAACUGCGUCGGAUAGUAAAACUCUGUUAUGAGGGGAAAGUUACCUAAUCAGAAGGCCACGGCUAACUACGGGGAAGCAGCCGCGGUAAUAC
rnacentral:rRNA from 1 species